rnacentral:lncRNA from 1 species
GUUGGAACUGGGUCUUUUGGGGAUGGCAUUUCGGGGUGGAAUCGGGACCACAUUUUGGGGCAGAAUCAGGACCACUUUUUGGGGUUGGAACCGGGUCUUUUGGGGACGUUAUUUUGGGGCAGAACCGGGACCUUUGGGGAUGGCAUUUUGGGGCAGAAUCGGGACCAGAUUUUGGGUUGGAACUGGGACCAGAUUUUGGGUCAGAACCGGGUCUUUUGGGGACGGCGUUUUGGGGCAGAACUGGGACCACAUUUCAGGGUGGAAUUGGGACCACAUUUUGGGUCAGAAUUGGGACUUUUGGGGACGGCAUUCUGGGGCAGAAUUGGAACCAGAUUUUGGGUCGGAACCGGGUCUUUUGGGGAUGGCAUUUCAGGAUGGAAUUGGGACCACAUUUUGGGUUGGAACCGGGACUUUCAGGGACGGCAUUUUGGGGCGGAAUCGGGACCAAAUUUUGGGUAGAACUGGGACCACAUUUUUGGGCCGGAACCGGGUCUUUUGGGGACAUUAUUUUGGGUCAGAACUGGGUCUUUUGGGAAUCAUGUUUCAGGGCAGAAUCGGGGCCACAUUUUGGGUUGGAACUGGGUCUUUUGGGGACAUUAUUUUGGGUCAGAACCGGGUCUUUCGGGAAUGAUGUUUCGAGUGGGACCUGGGCCUGCGUUUUGGGUGAAAACCCGUCCGUUUCGGUGUCAGGGUGGACGUGGCGGGCGCUGUCAGGGCUUUUGGG